ACACUCCUGCGGGAGGCAGCAGUGGGGAAUAUUGCACAAUGGGCGCAAGCCUGAUGCAGCCAUGCCGCGUGUAUGAAGAAGGCCUUCGGGUUGUAAAGUACUUUCAGCGGGGAGGAAGGCGAUAAGGUUAAUAACCUUGUCGAUUGACGUUACCCGCAGAAGAAGCACCGGCUAACUCCGUGCCAGCAGCCGCGGUAAUACGGAGGGUGCAAGCGUUAAUCGGAAUUACUGGGCGUAAAGCGCACGCAGGCGGUCUGUCAAGUCGGAUGUGAAAUCCCCGGGCUCAACCUGGGAACUGCAUUCGAAACUGGCAGGCUAGAGUCUUGUAGAGGGGGGUAGAAUUCCAGGUGUAGCGGUGAAAUGCGUAGAGAUCUGGAGGAAUACCGGUGGCGAAGGCGGCCCCCUGGACAAAGACUGACGCUCAGGUGCGAAAGCGUGUGGAGCAAACAGGAUUAGAAACCCCGGUAGUCCCAUGAU
rnacentral:rRNA from 1 species